UGAGAAGAAACUGUUUCUACAAAUGUGA
rnacentral:piRNA from 1 species